CCUACGGGAGGCAGCAGUGGGGAAUAUUGCACAAUGGGCGGAAGCCUGAUGCAGCGACGCCGCGUGAGGGAUGACGGCCUUCGGGUUGUAAACCUCUUUCAGCAGGGACGAAGCGUAAGUGACGGUACCUGCAGAAGAAGCACCGGCUAACUAUGUGCCAGCAGCCGCGGUAAUACGUAGGGUGCGAGCGUUGUCCGGAAUUACUGGGCGUAAAGAGCUCGUAGGCGGUUUGUCACGUCGUCUGUGAAAUCCUAGGGCUUAACCCUGGACGUGCAGGCGAUACGGGCUGACUUGAGUACUACAGGGGAGACUGGAAUUUCUGGUGUAGCGGUGGAAUGCACAGAUAUCAGGAAGAACACCGAUGGCGAAGGCAGGUCUCUGGGUAGUAACUGACGCUGAGGA
rnacentral:rRNA from 1 species